GACGAACGCUGGCGGCGUGCUUAACACAUGCAAGUCGAACGGAGAGGCCUGCUUUCCCUUGUGGAUUGCGGGUACUCGAGUGGCGAACGGGUGAGUAACACGUGAGUGAUCUGCCCCCAACUUGGGUAUAAGCCUGGGAAACUGGGUCUAAUUCCCGAUAGGACUGCAGGGUGGUGCCUGUGGUGGAAAUCGAUUUUCUAGUGGUUGGGGAUGAGCUCGCGGCCUAUCAGCUUGUUGGUGGGGUAAUGGCCUACCAAGGCGGCGACGGGUAGCCGGCCUGAGAGGGUGGACGGCCACAUUGGGACUGAGAUACGGCCCAGACUCCUACGGGAGGCAGCAGUGGGGAAUAUUGCACAAUGGGCGGAAGCCUGAUGCAGCGACGCCGCGUGGGGGAUGACGGCCUUCGGGUUGUAAACUCCUUUCGACCGCGAGGAAGCCACCUGGUUGGAAGGGUGGUGACGGUAGUGGUAGAAGAAGCACCGGCUAACUACGUG
rnacentral:rRNA from 1 species